ACAGCGUUAGCUAAAAUAGAUAAAUAUAUGAAUAACUCCUCACCUUCCUCUGGCUUUGAUAAUAAUAAAGUGGAUCCAAGAUAUUUUUGGAGGUCGUUGAAGGGAGCUCAACAUUCUUCCGACUAAUUGAAGUCUUUGAUAUGCCUGAGAAUUUUAAAAAAAUGAAGAUAUUUUUCAGCUGAUCUGAAAAUAAAUCGACUGUGAGAAGCUACUCAUCCAG
rnacentral:lncRNA from 1 species